rnacentral:tRNA from 1 species
GUUUCUAAAGGAAAAUAGAUAUCCGCUGGUUUUAGGCACCAAAAAUCUUGGUGCAACUCCAAGUAGAAACA